UAGACAAUUCAGCAUCAAAGAGCAAUGAUGGUACUCUGCAAAGUACCGGCUGUUCUGUGUAGACCAUAGUGUCAGAAGGAGAGGCCCUUGGGAGUCAUUUUUUCCAGCCCCUCCCUCAUUUUACAGAUUAGAGAUGCCAAGAGAGACUUAGGGACUUGUCUGAAUCCACAAGCUGUUUGAGAGGAGAUUUAAGAUCUCCUGACACCAUGGUCCUCCAAUAAGCUGGGCAGAAGGCAACAGCCUCGCAGGGGCCUGGCCGGCAGUGUCCUUUGCUGGGCCGAAGCAGCAAGCCAGCACCCCACUGCCAAAGGGUAUGACGAGCUCCCCUACUGUGGGUACCUUGCAGACUCUAGAACAGUGCAUGCACAAAAGUCAAGAAGAGAUCUUAUGUCUCCAGUGUCUCCUCCAUUCAACAUUCAGCCAAGAUUUCAAUCAAUACAUUACUCACGACAGGUUAUGAAAUAGGCCCAACAGAAGAUGCUAGAGGCUAACCUGAUAUACAGCAAUCAGUUCUCUGUUUAGCCACCACUGCACUGUUUAACGCCUGUUAAAAAUUAGAGAUAAUAUACUUAAUUAUAUUAGCCAUGAAAUUAUAUUAGCCAUGAAUUUUGGUUUUGUUUUACCAAGAAAGUAUAUUGAAACACAACUUGAACUGUAGCUUUAUGUAGAUUAACAACUGUUGGCAGCACCAACUGGUCAAAAUCAUUUCCUACUUUUAGAAAUUAUUUACCAUGAAACCAAAGGAUAUGAAAGCUCCUCAAAUGAAAGACACCACCUCAUUGAACCAGAAAAAAAAGCAUAGAUGUUACCACACAUUUAAAAGAGCUGGCCUUGCACAUGCUCACAUCCAUGCUGUUAAACCUGCACUUCGGGCACACUAUGCACACCCAGUCAUACUACAUACCACCCCAUGUGCAAGAGCUGCUGCUCCUCAGAUUGCCUACAUUUGCAUUUACUUCCAAAGGGGUUCUAAUUUAUCUGUAAGAAAACUAGGAGUUUUAUUCCCAGAAGCUCCCUUCAGUGGCUCUGUGGAAACUCACCCAGCUACUGAGGAAAAGGCCAACAUCGCCAGGUACCAUGUAACAGUCCCCCUCUAACACCUAGUCCUUCCUGACUAGCCUGCAUCAGUGCUUUCUGAUGGUGGGCCCCUCAACAAAGAAGAGAAAUAGCAUUUUCUA